CAACAGUGAUGCUCCUAGUAAUGGCGAAUGAAACGGGCAGAGUCCAGCACCGAACCACUGGCAUUUAUGUCAUGUGGAAUGUGGUGUGUGAGAGAGCCUCAUCGCUUGAUGUUGAUCAGUCCAAGUGCACCUUGACUGGGACCAUUGCCCAUAGAGGGUGAUAGGCCCGUACGACGGUCGACAUCUUGUGCUGGCGUCUUCUCCAGAGUCGAGUUGCUUGGGAGUGCAGCUCAAAGUGCGAGGUAAACUCCUCGUAAGACUAAAUAUGACCCCAAGACCGAUAGCGAACAAGUACCGUGAGGGAAAGUUGAAAAGGACUUUGAAGAGAGAGUUCAAGAGUACGUGAAACUGCAUAAUGGUAAACAGAGGCGUUCUCGAAGUUUGGAGCAGAGAUUCAGGUUUUCGACUUUAAUCGGUCGGCGGCUGUAUUUCUCUGCGUCUGAACACGACGGAUCGUUGGUGUUAAAGAUGGACAGAGCUUGAAGUUAUUCUGCUUUUGCUCCAAUUUUGACGCUUACGGUGUUUGUACAUCACUUUUGUGGUGUGCUGUUGUUGUGAGUAGGUCGGCGGCGUCUCUGACCCGUCUUGAAACACGGACCAAGGAGUCUAACAUGUGUGCAAGUCGCAGAGUUUACUAAACUCUUGGGCACAGUGAAAGCGAAGAAUGCCUUUUGGUGUUUGAAGGAUGAUCAUUGCCCCACGUGGGUAGUGCGCAAUCCUGGCGUUUUGUAUUGACCUCGUUUCAUGCAGAACAGCAAGAGCAUACAUGUUGGGGCCCGAAAGAUGCGUGAACUAUGCCUGGCCAGGUUGAAGUCAGGGGAAACUCUGAUGGAGGACCGUAGCGAUUCUGACGUGCAAAUCGAUCGUCGGAGCUGGGUAUAGGGGCGAAAGACUAAUCGAACCUUCUAU
rnacentral:rRNA from 1 species